AUAAUACUCUGCUAAUCUACCUGAUGGUGACAAACUUAUUAGUCCCAUGCCUUGCCCAAUGGCUUCUUAAAUCAAUUGGGUUAGAAAAGUUAUAGCCUUGAGCUGCUAGUUUCUCCAAAACCUUCUUAAAAGCACCUUGACUCAUUUUUCGACCAGCAAUUCUUGCACCUCGCCGCUUCUCACUCAUGGGCAAAGGAUGUAGAGAUAAACUUGUGGUACAACAAGCUGAUUGCCA
rnacentral:misc_RNA from 1 species